AUCUCUGUGGGGAGAAGGUUGUUUUCACCCUCUACCUGGAAGAAACCAAAACUACCCCGCCCUCUCCUCUGGACUCCUGUCACAGCCAGGGCUGGUUGUGCCCCUGCUCUCCCUCUGCAGAGCCCAGGGCUUCCUCCUCCAGCGUGGGGAUGGCUCCAUUCUUUUUGCACUGGCGGGGGAGGAUGCGGGUGCUCACGGGCCUGCCCGUUUGCAUUGUAUUAAACAUCACACAUUGCAAUGCCAUCUCUCAUGAUUUGCUCUGUAGAGGUAGGAGCGCAGGCGGGAGGUAUGUAGAUGCUGACGCACCAUCCAUUUUGUAUUGCAUUGCAAGCUCUCAUCGCUUGUAUUGAAAAGGGGGCAGAAUGCAGAUGCUGCUGCUCAGUCAAUCGUGCACUGUGUUAAGCACCACAUCGUGGGCGCUACCAGGAUAAAAAUAAAUAACAUUGCAAUGCAUACUACCGUGGUCUGUGUUGGCUGGAGUGGAAGGCAGAGCUAAAUGCAGAUGCGUUAUUCAGUUUGCUUUACACUGCAAUGCAGACUCCCUUGGAUGCAGGGAGGGAAGGUACAGAUGCUCAGUUCCUUUUGUGUCGCAUUAAACUUCAUAUUCCACUGCAAACUCGCGUGGUUUUCCACUGGAUGAGGCAGAGGCGGAGGAGUUAAAACGGUGGCGCCCUGUUACUUAUUUAAUGUGUGCACAUGGAGUGGGUGGAUGGUGGGAACGUAAAAUGCUGUAUCACUAGCAAUGCUUUCUCCUUUUUGUAUUGUACAGUAUUAAAAUUCACAAACUGCAAUGCAAUGAAAUCUAUCCAGAAACCAAAUCCUUCAGUCUUUACUCAGCCAAAAGCCCAGCUGAAAUCAAGGACAUUUUUCCUAGGUGCUAUGGAUAUGCACUGUAUUAUUAAUAAAACAGACUGUCCCAUUAGAAGAUGACAGAAAGGAUUAUAGACGGUCUACAAAAAUGAGCCCAACCGAACAAAUCCUUACUCACAGGAGUAAUCUUAUUGACUCAAUGCAUAAUUAAGGACCACGCACACACAAGGAAACGUUUGCAGGGCUAUUAAAAGACAGCCGCUGAUGCAUGUGUGAUAAGGUACAGAUCUGCUAAAUUGGUAAAUUAUUGGUAAUUAAUUGAUGGUAAAUGGUAAGUGGUAAUUGGUAUUAAAUUGAUGGUAAAUUAUUUAACUUGAGUUCUACUAAAACAUGUGCUCCUAACAUCACUUUUCCAACUUGAGUGUCAUCUCAUAAACAGGAAAGGAAAAAUAUUGCAGCGCUUAUCUAAAUAGUUCUGAUCCUCCAAAACCUAUGAAGGCGAGACACUGCGGAGAGAAUAUUUCAGGGCCGCUUUAUGUAGAGAUAGAUGCUUUCCCAAAUUACCUUAAUUAAAAAAAAAAAAAAGAAUUAAUCUGCAAUUAUGUCACUUUGUGCUAUGGCACUACCAGAUCUCAGGGCUUGUCUACACUACCGGCUCGAUUGACAGGCAGUGAUCGAUUUAGCAGGGGUCGAUUUAUCAUGCCUAGUAUAGAUAAGUUUUAGAGUAGCAGCCGUGUUAGUCUGUAUCCGCAAAAAGAACAGGAGUACUUGUGG